rnacentral:lncRNA from 1 species
GCAUAGUUUACAACAAAACUCGUUUAUUAACAUAAAAAACCUUUACUAUCCACUUAUCUCGGUGAAAUUCACAAAAACAAUAUACGAAAACAGUAACAUUAUCAUUAUCAUGAAAUCAUAUGAGCUGUAUAACAUAACACUUAUCACACCUUUACAAUUCAAUCAUUACACAAUAUAUUCUUCCUCAUUUACCAGCCUACUAGUAUCCAUGGGGAUCCAUAGGGGUCCCGCUACCCGUGAACCCUUAACACUUGUAAUCGGAUUCCAGGGCCGUCCCCAUACCCCGUCCGGUAUGGGCGCCAAAACACAUAGGGUCUCCAUACCCCGUCCGGUAUGAGAGACCACAAUCCCGGUAGGGUUCCCUACGGACCCGGUCCGUCCACCAUCUCUCAGGAUAUCUAGUCAGGCUGAUCACAUUAUACAAUUAUCAAUUUACAUAACCUUUCAUUCCCCUUUUCCUCAGUCAGCAUCAUCAAUUCACACACAAACAAGCAAAACAGUAAUUUAUGCCAAACAAGACAACAUACAGCAUCGGUUUCUCAGUCACUCAACCCAUAAUC